AAAUAUAAAAACAAACAAGAGCGUAUGGGGGAUGCCUAGGCUCUGAGAGGCGAAGAAGGACGUGAUAAGCUGCGAAAAGCUGUGGGUAGGUGCACAUAACCGUUGAUCCGCAGAUCUCCGAAUGGGACAACCCACCUAAUUAAUUAGGUAUCCAGUAAUGGAGGCAAACCCGGUGAACUGAAACAUCUAAGUAACCGGAGGAAAAGAAAACAAAAGUGAUUUCCCAAGUAGCGGCGAGCGAACGGGAAAUAGCCCAAACCAGUGUUGUUUCGGCAACGUUGGGGUUGUAGGACUACAAUAUUACUAAUGCAAAAGAAGUGGAAGCUGUUUGGAAAGACACAUCAUAGAGGGUGAUAAUCCCGUACAUGUAAAGUUGUAUUAUUAUAGUAGUAUCCUGAGUAGGUCGGGGCACGUGAAACCUUGACUGAAUCUAGCGGGACCAUCCGCUAAGGCUAAAUACUCCUCAGAGACCGAUAGUGAACCAGUACCGUGAGGGAAAGGUGAAAAGUACCCUGAAUAAGGGAGUGAAAUAGUACCUGAAACCAUGCGCUUACAAGCGGUCGGAGCACAUUCAUUGUGUGACGGCGUGCCUUUUGCAUAAUGAGCCUACGAGUUAGUCGUCACUUGCGAGGUUAAGUUCUUCAGGAACGUAGCCGAAGCGAAAGCGAGUCUUAACAGGGCGUUAAGUCAGUGGCGCUAGACGCGAAACUUUGUGAUCUACCCAUGUCCAGAUUGAAGGUUUGGUAACACAAACUGGAGGAUCGAACCCGUUGACGUUGAAAAGUCUUGGGAUGAGGUGUGGGUAGGGGUGAAAGGCCAAUCAAACUGAGAAAUAGCUCGUACUCCCCGAAAUGCAUUUAGGUGCAGCCUUGGAGUUAAGUGUUAUAGAGGUAGAGCUACUGAUUGGAUGCGAGGGCUUCACCGCCUAUCAAAUCCAGAUAAACUCCGAAUGCUAUAACAUGUUCUCCAGGAGUGAGCCCGUGGGUGCUAAGGUCCACGGACGAGAGGGAAACAACCCGGACCAUCAGCUAAGGUCCCCAAAUAUAUGCUAAGUUGAACUAACGCGGUAAGAUUGCACAGACAGCUAGGAUGUUGGCUUGGAAGCAGCCAUUCAUUUAAAGAGUGCGUAACAGCUCACUAGUCGAGCGAUCUUGCAUGGAUGAUAAUCGGGCAUAAGCAUAUUACCGAAGCUAUGGGAUAGUAUAUUAAUUUAUACGAUCGGUAGGGGAGCAUUCUAAUCUGCGCAGAAGCAGUCUGGUAAUGGAUUGUGGAGCGGUUAGAAAAGCAAAUGUAGGCAUGAGUAACGAUAAUGCGGGCGAGAAACCCGCACGCCAAUAGACUAAGGAUUCCUGAUCAACGCUAAUCGGAUCAGGGUAAGUCGGGACCUAAGGCGACGCCGAAGGGCUAAGUCGAUGGCAAACCGGUUAAUAUUCCGGUACCUUAUAUAACUGCGAUGCAGUGACGGAGUAGUGAAAUCACCUCGGACAGACGGAUGUUCGAAUAACAGCAAAGACGUAGAUUUUAGUAGUUAAGUACGCUAGAAGAGUUGAAGCUGGAAAGUAUGCCAAUGCUACGGCAGCGGCAAGUGUGAGUAAACAGACUUCCAAGAAAACCUGCUAAGCUUCAGGUUAUAUAGGCCCGUACCGCAAACCGACACAGGUAGUCAAGUAGAGUAUACUAAGGCGCUCGAGAGAUUCAUGGCUAAGGAACUAGGCAAAAUCGCCCCGUAACUUCGGGAGAAGGGGCGCUCACAGCAAUGUGAGCCGCAGUGAAUAGGCCCAGGCGACUGUUUAGCAAAAACACAAGGCUUUGCAAAUUCGAAAGAAGAGGUAUAAGGCCUGACACCUGCCCGGUGCUGGAAGGUUAAAAGGAGAGCUUAGCGUUGAGCGAAGGUUUGAAUUGAAGCCCCAGUAAACGGCGGCCGUAACUAUAACGGUCCUAAGGUAGCGAAAUUCCUUGUCGGGUAAGUUCCGACCUGCACGAAUGGUGUAACGAUCUGGGCACUGUCUCAGCCAUGAUCUCGGUGAAAUUGAAGUAUCGGUGAAGAUGCCGAUUACCCGCAACGGGACGAAAAGACCCCGUGAACCUUUACUAUAGCUUAACAUUGAAUUCGGGUAAGUAAUGUGUAGGAUAGGUCGGAGACUGUGAAGCGUGUGCGCCAGUGCAUGUGGAGUCACCCUUGAAAUACGACCCUUUGCUUAUUUGACUUCUAACUCAGCGAUGAGGACAGUGUUUGGUGGGUAGUUUGACUGGGGUGGUCGCCUCCAAAAGCGUAACGGAGGCUUCUAAAGGUUCCCUCAGGAUGUUUGGUAAUCAUCCGCAGAGUGCAAUGGCAUAAGGGAGCUUGACUGAGAGACCUACAAGUCGAUCAGGUACGAAAGUAGAGCAUAGUGAUCCGGUGGUUCCGAAUGGAAGGGCCAUCGCUCAAAGGAUAAAAGGUACUCCGGGGAUAACAGGCUGAUCGCUCCCAAGAGCUCAUAUCGACGGAGCGGUUUGGCACCUCGAUGUCGGCUCGUCACAUCCUGGGGCUGGAGAAGGUCCCAAGGGUUGGGCUGUUCGCCCAUUAAAGUGGCACGCGAGCUGGGUUCAGAACGUCGUGAGACAGUUCGGUCUCUAUCUGUUGUGGGCGUGGGAAAUUUGAGAGGAUCUGACUCUAGUACGAGAGGACCGGGUUGGACAAACCUCUAGUGCAUCAGUUGUGGCGCCAGCUGCAUUGCUGAGUAGCUAUGUUUGGAACGGAUAAGUGCUGAAAGCAUCUAAGCACGAAGCCAGCCUCAAGAUAAGAUUUCCAAAUAGGGACGUUAGAGACGAUAACGUUGAUAGGCUGUAGGUGUAAGUGCGGCAACGUAUUUAGCCGAGCAGUACUAAUUACCCAAAAGUUUUUAUAU
rnacentral:rRNA from 1 species